UGGAAGUUGGGAUAUCACCAGGCAAGGAGGCGUGUCAAGGACCGCCUUCACUGAAGCCGCAUGCAUCAAUGAGCCUUCCCGGCGAGGGGAAACCAGAGAAGAAGCUGUGGACUCCGUCCCACCAAUUCAAGCCUGCAUGGUGGAGCGCUGCCAGCCAGCAGCAUGGGGAAGUCGUCCAUGAGCGCUACUCUUGGCUCCCUCGGAUGCCAUUGCUGUCUAGAGCGGAUUCACGAAAAGCAGACCGGCAUUGUGUUCAGCAUGUGCGGGACACUUGAGGCGCCGUGCUCUGUGAAGCGUCCAGUGCACUCUCUUCCCCACCGCAUGACGCUCACAGGCCACCUGAGGCGGCCAUCUGGAGUAUGCGUCCUUAGCCUCUGGCGAUAUUCCUGGCUCCAGCACCGUGCCUGGUCACUCAAGCCCCCCGCUCCUCGUGCUGCAUUCCUGUACUGGCUUUGGAAGCCCCUGCCUGGCAGAAGACCCAAGUCAAGAAAACACAUGAAAGGACCUGUGAAGAAGGCAAGGGAAGAAAGAGGUGGCUGGUGCUGCAGUGUUUGCCAUUGAUCCAGAGGUUUUCCAGUGGACCUCAGGUUCCUGCAGGCUGCCUGGGCCCAAGUCAGGGCGUGACCACACAGAAGAUGAGGAAGGGGAGCUCUGCCGGUUCUCUGUUGCUCACUUCUGGUCAGCACACCCACAUUCAGCUCAUCAAAGUUUAGGAGAUGAAAUACAGAGUUUCACAUCAAAGCCAUCAGCGCUGUCAAAAGUUUCAGUUUCUUCGAGACCGAAUUGCAAAAGCUCCCCAACAAUGGACUUAUCUCCCUACCAAGAAUUUCUGGCAUCGAAGGUAAUAUAUACACUUUGGGAUGA